rnacentral:tRNA from 1 species
GUGACUGUAGCUCAGUUGGCAGAGCGUUGGAUUGUGGUUCCAAAUGUCGUGGGUUCGAGCCCCAUCAGUCACC